UGUCAUAAGAUUUCCCAAAAAUCAAUCUCAAUGAAUAGGGUGUUGAAAUCAAGGAAACAUUUGAGGGAAUUCCAUAACUUUUUCCCCUUCAAGCAAUAUCACAGACAACCUUCCAUCCAAAUUCAACAAAAUUGAAACCCAUUUUUGAGAGUUAUUGGUGCCUCAUCCUAUAACUGAAGGCAACGUUAGAAAAUCCGGAGACGUUUUCGAGGCCCUGGGAAGACUUAUCUUUUAUUUUUAACAGCUUUCCCACCCUGAAAUCGGCUCAACCGGAGAUAGGGUCCAGCAUUUGGAAGAGCAUCGCACAUCUUGUAGUGUAUGGUGCACCCUUGGCGGCCCUUGAAAAUCUGGAGUAUUGAGUAUCGUCCAUGCUCGGUCGUACUCAUAACCACAUUAGGUCUCCAAGGUGAAUAUCCUCU
rnacentral:ncRNA from 1 species